CUACGGGAGGCAGCAGUAAGGAAUAUUGCGCAAUGGAGGCAACUCUGACGCAGCCAUGCCGCGUGCAGGAAGAAGGCCUUAUGGGUCGUAAACUGCUUUUAUUUAGGAAUAAACCCCCGAACGUGUUCGGGGCUGAAGGUACUAAACGAAUAAGCACCGGCUAACUCCGUGCCAGCAGCCGCGGUAAUACGGAGGGUGCAAGCGUUAUCCGGAUUUAUUGGGUUUAAAGGGUGCGCAGGCGGGCUAUUAAGUCAGUGGUGAAAUCCCGGGGCUCAACUCCGGAACUGCCAUUGAUACUGAUAGUCUUGAGUUUGGUUGAAGUGGGCGGAAUGUGGCAUGUAGCGGUGAAAUGCAUAGAUAUGCUACAGAACACCAAUCGCGAAGGCAGCUCACUAAGCCAAAACUGACGCUCAUGCACGAAAGCGUGGGGAUCAAACAGGAUUAGAUACCCGCGUAGUC
rnacentral:rRNA from 1 species